CUUGAGCCGUUGCAUGGCCCAGUAGUGUAAAGGCCCUGGGUAAAUGGCUUGGAUAGAGGCGGUCAGUAGGCCUAUAGUAUGGGCCAGAUCGCGUAAGCGAAUCUGAUGAGCUGAUAACAAUUUGCGAAUGUCUUUUUUGAUGAUUCUGAUCUUUGCAGAGGGUAGUUGUAAAACCGCCUGUACAGAAUCUAUCAGAAACCCG